rnacentral:rRNA from 1 species
GGGGGGGCAAGCGUUUGUUCGGAAUUACUGGGCGUAAAGGGCGCGUAGGCGGUCCCGCAAGUCCUCCGUGAAAUCCCACAGCUCAACUGUGGAACUGCGAGGGAAACUGCAGGACUUGAGUCCGGGAGAGGAGAGUGGAAUUCCCAGUGUAGCGGUGAAAUGCGUAGAUAUUGGGAGGAACACCGGUGGCGAAGGCGGCUCUCUGGACCGGUACUGACGCUGAGGCGCGAAAGCUAGGGGAGCAAACGGGAUUAGAUACCCCCCGGUAGUCCCUAGCCUUAAACGAUGAGCACUUGGUGUGGCGGGUAUCGACCCCCUGCCGUGCCCGAAGCUAACGCAUUAAGUGCUCCGCCUGGGGAGUACGGUCGCAAGGCUG